rnacentral:rRNA from 1 species
GACGAACGCUGGCGGCGUGCCUAAUACAUGCAAGUCGAGCGAAGUUUUUCUUGUGCUUGCACUAGAAAAACUUAGCGGCGAACGGGUGAGUAACACGUAAAGAACCUGCCUCAUAGACUGGGACAACUAUUGGAAACGAUAGCUAAUACCGGAUAACAGUAUUUCUCGCAUGAGAGAUAUUUAAAAGUUGGUUAUGCUAACACUAUGAGAUGGCUUUGCGGUGCAUUAGCUAGUUGGUGGGGUAAAGGCCCACCAAGGCGACGAUGCAUAGCCGACCUGAGAGGGUGAUCGGCCACACUGGGACUGAGACACGGCCCAGACUCCUACGGGAGGCAGCAGUAGGGAAUCUUCCGCAAUGGGCGAAAGCCUGACGGAGCAACGCCGCGUGAGUGAAGAAGGAUUUCGGUUCGUAAAGCUCUGUUGUUAGGGAAGAAUGGAUAUGUAGUAACUAUACAUGUAAGAGACGGUACCUAACCAGAAAGCCACGGCUAACUACGUG